UCAUUGAAAUUAACCUGGUCACAAGCAUGUUUGCUUGGUAAACAACGCCCGACGUUCGAUGCAAUGAUUCCGCUCUAAUUAGUGCAGAAAUUAAGGUUCCAACUACCAUAUUAGAAGGCAAGCUUGACCAGUUACACUCACAAGAAGAAGUCAAACAUGGAACCUUAAUUAGAAAAUCAAGAAAUUGAGAGCUUUGUGAAGAUAUUCAAAGGUGUUGGUCAUGGAUGGGCUUCAAGAUAUAGCGAGGAUAAUGAAUCUGUUGAGAGGAGUGCUGAGGUGGCCAAGCAUGUGAUUUUUUAAGCGGGUCGAGUGGUUAUUUUUCUUAUCUCACUUAUGAAGGUGUAACAUGAUAUACUUGAAGCCAAGA